GCGAAAUGGACUCUGGGUCCUGGCUUUCUGCAGCCCGGUGCGCCGGCAGCCGGUCCCUGUCGUUUGUGCUGGCUCCUCAUCCUGCCUUGCCUGUGCAGGGCAGGCUCUGUCAUGAGCCCCAUACAAGGCUUCACAACUGGUGUGCAGCAGCAAUCAUGCAGACAUGAGAGCAACCACUUCCUUCCUCCACCACCUCUGUGAAUCCACACCAGGACCUGCACACAGCUCUGCACACCCUCCUCAGCUCAAGCCUGGAGGAACAUCUGCCAUCAGAAAUUCAAAAGUCACUCAGCACUUCCCUGCUGCACCAUGCACACACAGGAGUGACAGCAAAGUGGCUUUUCCCCUGAGGCCUCUGGAGCAUCUUAUAUUGGGAGCAGCAGCAUCACUGUGGCUUUGGUAGGCUGUGGUUCCUUCCUGUGCCUCCUGGAAGCCCUGGAGGUGUUAACACAUCAGCCGGGGCAUCACCCUGCUCAGGGCUGAGUGCCAAGGCCCUGCAGGCACCCUGCACUCUCAGGAGGCCAGAGAAAGUUCAACACCACCUGAGAAAAGGGAACUUGCCCCUUGGCAAGCUCCCCUCCUCCAGUAGGAAAGGAAGGAGAGGAAUCCCACUGUGACAUUGCCCCAUGCCACCUGUCUCCUCACCAGCAGGCAGGGCAGCACAUCUCACCCAGCUGCACAAAGGCGUUUUAGGGAAGGUUUCCCUGCAGGAAACAAUCCUUAAGUAAACUUUCAGAUUGGUCUAAUGACAUGGUUUGCCACCUUCUGGAGCUGGGUGGCUCAGCAGACAUCCAUUUAACCUGCCCUCUGGACCCAGUCUCCAGUGGCCCAGCAGAGAGCAUGAUCUGUCUGCUCAUGGUUAUUUCUUUCACAGAAGCCCACAGUCUCUGCAUGAAUUUGCAUCUAAUUAGCAUUUGCUUAGUGGACCUUACUCAAGGGCUACAACAUGAUACCUUUCUUUUACCUUGGACUGGUUUCUGAUGAAAACUGGGUCAUCCAAGUGGCAAGCACUGUCAAGCUUAGUACAUUUUACAAGACCUUCUCCUUUGACAAGACCGCCAUGUGAAGGUACACAACUCCUUGGCCCAGCCAGCCACGGGGAAUCUACCCACAAAUACGCUCCACCUCAAAGAACAGAAAGAAAACAUUCACAUCUCAGGAAGAAAAUGUGUUUCUGAGCAUAAACCACCUUUCUCCUUAUCCUCACUUCAGUCAGCCACUAAAAACAUUACAAAUAUUAAUCACAUUGUCAAUACAUAUCACACCAGAAAAUGUGUUUGUGGUUUUUAAGUGACAAGUCAACCAUACAAACCAAAUACCAGGAGCAACUGUCUUCAAAAUAAAAAGCAUGCAAGCAGUGAAA